GAAGGGCCCAGAAUCGGGAUAAGCUGAAUUGGAAAAUCCAGCAAUAGGAAGAAGAGAUGGCUGCUGCUGUUCCUGGAUCUAGAAAGGAGAGAAGCUACUCAGGGAGCUCUUGAUCCUAUGCUCAGGGGGAAACAUACCAGGAAAUUACAGGAAACAAAAAAGAAAAUUGAGUGGAGGAGAAGGAAUAGCAAAAUGGAGACAGCAGCAGAAGAUAGAGAGAGGUGGACGAGAGAAAACCCUCAAGAUAAAGAGACCAGGGCACAGAAAGGGAAGAAGAGGCAAAGAGACAAAUACAUGAGGAAACAUGGCAGGCUUGGAGAACUUUGAAUAUAUCAUCUCAUUCCUUCCUGGCCCACAAGGUUUUUGCUGAGAAGUCUCCUGACAUCCUUAUGG